rnacentral:rRNA from 1 species
CUCAGGAUUAACGCUGGCGGCAUGCCUAAUACAUGCAAGUCGAACGAGAUAUUUAUAUCUAGUGGCGAACGGGUGAGUAAUGUAUUUCUAACGUACCCCAAAGUGUGGGAUAACUACCGGAAACAGUAGCUAAUACCGCAUAGGAUAUCGGAAGGCAUCUUCUGAUGUUUAAAGAAGCGUUUGCUUCGCUAUGGGAUCGGGAAAUAUGACAUUAGUUAGUUGGUAGGGUAAUGGCCUACCAAGACGAUGAUGUCUAGCCGAGCUGAGAGGUUGAUCGGCCACAAUGGGACUGAGACACGGCCCAUACUCCUACGGGAGGCAGCAGUAGGGAAUUUUCCACAAUGGACGAAAGUCUGAUGGAGCAAUGCCGCGUGAGGGAUGAAGGUCUUCGGAUCGUAAACCUCUGUUGUAAGGGAAGAAACUCCCGGAUAGGAAAUGAUCCGGGUCUGACGGUACCUUACCAGAAAGUCACGGCUAACUAUGUGCCAGCAGCCGCGGUAAUACAUAGGUGGCGAGCGUUAUCCGGAUUUAUUGGGCGUAAAGAGUGCACAGGUGGUUUAUCAAGUCAGGCGUUAAAGCCCGGGGCUCAACUCCGGUUCGCGUCUGAAACUGAUAGACUAGAAUGUCGGUGGGGUUAGUAGAAUUCCAUGUGUAGCGGUGGAAUGCAUAAAUAUAUGGAGGAAUACCAGUGGCGAAGGCGGCUAACUGAACGAUUAUUGACACUUAAGCACGAAAGCGUGGGGAGCAAAUAGGAUUAGAUACCCUAGUAGUCCACGCCGUAAACGAUCCAGACUAGACGUUGGGGUUACCCAGUGUCACAGCUAACGCAUUAAGUCUGGCGCCUGAGUAGUAUGCGCGCAAGCGUGAAACUCAAAGGAAUUGACGGGGACCAGCACAAGUGGUGGAUGAUGUGGUUUAAUUCGAUGCAACGCGAAAAACCUUACCUACCCUUGACAUGCCAGGAAUCCUGAAGAGAUUUGGGAGUGCUCGAAAGAGAACCUGGACACAGGUGCUGCAUGGCCGUCGUCAGCUCGUGUCGUGAGAUGUUGGGUUAAGUCCCGCAACGAGCGCAACCCUUGUCAUUAGUUGCUACGAAAGGGCACUCUAAUGAGACUGCCGGUGACAAACCGGAGGAAGGUGGGGAUGACGUCAGGUCAUCAUGGCCCUUAUGGGUAGGGCUACACACGUCAUACAAUGGCCGGGACAGAGGGCUGCCAACCCGCGAGGGGGAGCUAAUCCCAGAAACCCGGUCGUAG